rnacentral:rRNA from 1 species
AAAUGAAUAGACGGGGACCCGCACAAGCAGCGGAGCAUGUGGUUUAAUUCGAAGCAACGCGAAGAACCUUACCAGGACUUGACAUCCCUCUGACCGGCCCCUAACCGGGCCUUUCCUUCGGGACAGAGGUGACAGGUGGUGCAUGGUUGUCGUCAGCUCGUGUCGUGAGAUGUUGGGUUAAGUCCCGCAACGAGCGCAACCCUUGCCAUUAGUUGCCAUCAUUCAGUUGGGCACUCUAGUGGGACUGCCGGGGACAACUCGGAGGAAGGUGGGGAUGACGUCAAAUCAUCAUGCCCCUUAUGUUCUGGGCUACACACGUGCUACAAUGGCCGGUACAGAAAGCAGCAAUGCCGCGAGGCGGAGCGAAUCUCAAAAACCGGUCCCAGUUCGGACUGCAGGCUGCAACUCGCCUGCACGAAGCCGGAGUUGCUAGUAAUCGCGGAUCAGAAUGCCGCGGUGAAUGCGUUCCCGGGUCUUGUACACACCGCCCGU